UGGUGCUUUUGCCUAGCACCUGUUGUCAUGUUAUAUUGUUUUCUUUUACAAAUCUAAGAGUCAGUGUGUGUGGAUUUCACCUCCUCUCUCUCUGUUUUUCACUGCCUCCCUUGCAUGCAUUUCCAUACAAUUCAUUCAUGCCUCACUUUGUGUUUCAGACUCUAGGUGUCUGUGAGCCACCAUUUUUUCUGGAUGGAUCCACAUGGUUGUACUUAAGACUCUCCAUUGCAAAGAGCCCUGAAGAAGCUAACAAUGGUUCCUAGAGAACUGCUGUUGAGGUUCCUCAUUAUAUAAUCACCAAGGACACAUGUGACCGACUCUCUCCAAAUCCAGAGAAUGGAGACUUCAGCAUUCCUCACUCUCCACCUGCUGCUGGGGGCUUCUUUUGCUCUGACCCUGAACUUUAACGGUGAGUACAGGUCUUGAGGAAAGGUCUUUUAUAAGAAGAGCACCUAGGAAGUCCACCCAGCCAGACCUUUCCAGCUGGGCUACCCACAUCCCCCAACUCCUUUGAGCCCUGCACCUCCUGCUUCCCUUCUACCACCUGCCCUGGAUCCCCAUGGGAGGAGAUUCAAGCCAGACAUCAGCCUUUUGCUUCCUCCAGGCUCCUACUCCUGGUGAGGUAGUUUGGCAUUGCAGUGUCAAGGCCUGGCCUAGAAGAGACCCACUACAUGUCUGUUGGCUACGUGGGUGACACAGAGUUUGUGCAUUUCAACAAUGAGGCAGUGAACCCGAGGUUUGAACCCCAGGUGCCCUGGAUAGAACAGAUAGGACAGAAGUACUGCGAUAACCAGACAUGCAUUGCCAAAGUCACAGAACGGCAGAUUAGAGUACACUUUCAGAAAUGGAGGCUACUACAACCAGAGCCAGAGCAGUGAGUGACUCUGAGCCCAGGUGGUUGCCAAGCCUCUUCCAUAUCCCCGCAUCACCAAGUUCAGCCCAAGGCUAUGAGACCACAGAGAGUAUUGACCCAGAAGGGCUGAGGGGACUACGAGCUGUUUAUGGUUCUCAGUUUAGGUCCAAAUCUGGUUGGGGGGGUAGGGAGGAUGAAAGGGCCAAGCAGGUGGGACUAACUUAUGGGGCAGGGCCAGGUUCUCACACCAUCCAAAGGAUGACUGGCUACUACAUUGGACCAGAUGGACACCUACUUCACGCACACCGUCAGUUUGUAUAUGAUGGACAAGAUUACCUUACUCUGAAUGAAGAUCUGAGCACCUGGACUGCGGCAGAUAUGGCAGCUGAGAUCACCCAUAGGGAGUGGAAGGCAACCAAUGCAGCUGAGUUCUGGAGGUCCACUUGGAGGGCCCUUGCAUACCUUGGAGAACUCUUUAAAUACCUGACAAUGGGAAAUGGAGACUCUACUGCACGCAGGUGCAAGGGGUAAAGAAGUAACUCCUCCAGGUGAACUGGAGCUCAUGUCUCCUGAGAAGGGAGAAAAAAUGAGACCAUCUAGAAUUCUCUAUAUCUGUCUCAGUUUCUGUCUCUGACUCUUUAUCUCUGACUCUGUGUCUCUGUCUGCCUUACUAUCUCUGUCUCAUCUCUCUCUCUGUGUCUAUCCUCUCCCCCACCCCUCUCUCUCUCUCUCUCUCUCUCUCUCUCUCUCUCUCUCUCACACACACACACACACACACACACACACACACACACACACCCCAGGAGAAGGAAAAA